UAGCACAAUACACAAUCUGAAAAUCGUAAUAUCUUCCUCUAGUAAUCAACAAAUUGAAUUGCCAUGGAGAAAUCAAUCAAGUUAGCAUUCCUCAUUACGGUGUUGGUUGUUGCAUCUCUUGGUACCAUAUUUCUUGACUAAUUUUUGUUUUGGGAGUUGUUAUUAGUACUUCAAAAAUCUCAUUUUACACUCCACACAAGUGUACUUUUCUUUCUAAUAAUAGAAAAUUUAGAGUGUAAAAUGAGAUUUUUGGAAUGCUAAUAGCAAUUCCCUUUGUUUUUUCACCCAUUUGUUUCUCAUAUGUUUUUUGUAUCUUUUCUCUUUCAUCCUUGCAACUUUUCCAUACAUGGCAUAAUAGCAUGUAUAUUUCCGAUUUAAUAAUAAAAAAUAUAUUCGUGGCAGGUGUGAAUCUUGGAGCCGAAGCACAUGAUUUUCAGCUUCCGGGUGUCUGCCAAAAACCUCAGGAUUGUGAUGGCCGUAAUUGUGAAUGUGUCGGUCAAAAAUGUUAUUGUUCUAGAGAAGGAGUGAGAAAGUUCAUGUUCAAAGACUCUUCUGCACAAUCGCAAGAGCAGAAAAAAAUUCCGUAAUUAGAAAUCUUCAAUUCUCGUAUUGACAUCUUCAAAUAUUUAUGAUGCUAUAAAAGCACACAAGUUGUAGAUGCGAAG
rnacentral:lncRNA from 1 species